rnacentral:rRNA from 1 species
GAUGAACGCUGGCGGCGCGCCUAACACAUGCAAGUCGAACGGCCGGAGCGCCCUCGGGCGCCGAGGCAGUGGCGAACGGCUGAGUAACACGUGGGCAACCUGCCCCUCGCACCGGGACAGCCUCGGGAAACCGUGGGUAAUACCGGACGACCCCGCGCCCCCGCAUGGGGGCGCGGGCGAAGCCCAGACGGCGAGGGAUGGGCCCGCGGCCUGUUAGCUUGUUGGCGGGGCAACGGCCCACCAAGGCGAUGAUGGGUAGCCGGGUUGAGAGACCGACUGGCCAGAUUGGGACUGAGACACGGCCCAA